rnacentral:lncRNA from 1 species
UUCACUAGAAAAAUUCCGUAGACCAAUUAGGAACAGUACUGAUAAAGAUAAACAUUUAUAUUCUGAAAGCUUCCCAUAAAUUGUUCCUUCUAACAGAUACUGUUCCCUUUUCUUGAAUUUGUUUCCUUCUCUCCUUCCUAUGGAAGUCACUUGGUUGUGUUUAUUAGCUGAAACAGGGUUAUUUACUACUGUUUUAGAACACGAUGAUGACACAAUGUGAGAAGAGAAGUUCUGCCGGAAUGCAACUGUCUGAGAACACCCAGGGAUAUGUCACAGAACAAGUAUUCAGAGGGGAUGAAAAUCAAACAUGACUCACAGAGUAUUGUUAAAACUUGAUGUCCUGAAGCGAUAUGAGAAGAAAAAACUGAGCAAAUACGACAUGACUGAGUGUCGAAACCUUGGGAAAGUACAGUUCAACCCCUACCUAAGAACUCCACUGCUACUCGAUUUUAAACUGGAUUAUGAGUCUCCUAGAGAUGUAAAAUCAAAUAUUUCAGCAGUUCCAUCUACUCACCAUAUUAUACAAUGUAACAGGAGUCCAUUCCAGCAGAGAGAAAGAUACAUAUCAGGCAAUAUCCUACUUGUCCCUCACCUGCCAGUUCCAAAGGCUACUCAAUGGCUAGCAUUAAGGUUGGUAACCUGAACUGUGAAAGAACAACUCCUCUAAGCCUUUUCGGCUGAAUGUGUUUACAGGCUGUGUUGCAGAUGUAGGACUUAUAUGUGUGCUCUUAUCCCUUCCACCCAUUUAGCACUACA